rfam:Bacillus bataviensis LMG 21833 contig118, whole genome shotgun sequence.
UGCCCUUUUAAUUGCAGUCCCGUGAGGCUGACAAAGGGGAAAAGAGCCGUAGAUCCUAUCAUUAAGCGGCAUUUUCUAAACCCUCUUUGUGCCUUAACGGACGCUGAGGGUUUUUUUUUU